rnacentral:sRNA from 1 species
AGAGCAGCGCCAGGAUGUCACGGGAGCUGACCCCACUGCUGCUUCUCCUCCUCUCCAUCCACAGCACCCUGGCCCUGAGGAUCUGCUCCUUCAACGUCAGGUCCUUUGGGGAAAGCAAGCAGGAAGACCAGAAUGCCAUGGAUGUCAUUGUGAAGGUCAUCAAACGCUGUGACAUCAUACUCGUGAUGGAAAUCAAGGACAGCAACAACAGGAUCUGCCCCAUACUGAUGGAGAAGCUGAACAGGUAACAUGGGGAAGGGUGGGCCCUCUAGGGCUCAAGGUCAAGUGCAAGGGCAUCUGAAAACCCCUGGGAACUGAAAGUAAUGUGAGAUCCCGCACUUGACCACCAGUUCACACAGCCAGUGUUGCCCAGGAGUCCAGCUCCCUUAGCCACGGUCCUGAGAACUUUCAACCAGUUGAUUUUACUGUGAUAAAAUAGAAUAGGGGAAAUAGAUGAGGGAUCUGGACACAGAAAGAAAUGAAAAAAGCAGAUAAGGCUGAGCUAAAAAGUACAGUUAUGAAGAAAAUGUUGGAAAAAAGAGAAAAGAUUAGAAACCAAUAGUAGAAGAAAGAUAAUAAAAUUACAAUAUGCUCACACACAGGAAUAUUAUGCAGCUGUUAAAAGUCAUGCUGGUGGCCAGGUGUGGUGGCACGUGCCUAUAGUCUCACCUACCUGGGAGGCUGAGGUGGGAGGAUCGCUUG